AGGUUUUAUGAAUAUUAAUACAUUUUCACAGCAUUCCCUGCUGCCUACUUCAUAAAGGCUGUUGUCGGGGCAACCAAGUCUAUUAUGACGCCACAUAGCGAGUAUAUAUAUUUUAGUGUGCUGCGCAGUUUUCUGUUAUAACGACUUUGAUCGCAUCAUGGCAGAAUAUCAGACGGCUCAAGAUCUGCAAAGCUGACAACAGUAAGGACCACUGUAUCUGGUGUGGCUGAAGCUAAGACCAGGCAGACACACUGGAUACAUCGCCUAAUGGGGAGGAUCUCAAGAACUGUCAGGAAGAUCUACACCGGAAGCCGAACUCUCUGCAAAAGAUGUCAGAGCUCUUUCUCACAGAGGAUAAGCUCCAUGUUU